rnacentral:lncRNA from 1 species
GUUUGGACAGCUGUGGGAGCUGGGAACCAGCAGAGCAGGGAGAGCUCAGGGGGUGCAGAGCGCGGGGCAGCAGCAGUGGUGCCCUGGCAGCGCUGAGGCAGCCCCUGCUGCCAGCAGAGCUGGGUUUCACUGCCCAAAGCUUCCUCUGCAGCCCCCUGUCCUCACCCUGCAUCUUCCACCUGCUUUUCCAUCAGCACUGCAUGCAGAAUGCCUGGAUGGGAGGGCAGCAGCAGUAGGAGGCUGUGGAGCAACAGGAGGAACGCUCAGGGGCUUUGAACAGGCCAUGGAGGAGAGAAUACAGCCCACCCUGCCUGGUGCUUGUGAUCUGAUGUGAAGAAUACUCUGCUGGUGUGGUGGGAAUGCAGCGUGGUGUUUCCACACAGAUGGGCCCAACCCAAGGGCUUUUUUCCCCAAAUUUCUUAAAGUUCAAAGGAGGCACGAGGAGGGGAACGCUGGAUAUGCAACAUGCCCCCCUUGCCUCGCCAGCAGAAAUGUGCCAUGAAACCCAUCAGGUGCCUUUGGUGGGGUCCCUGGACAUGCUGUUCUGGAUCAUCCCCUGGGUGCUUCUUUUCUUCUACAAUUUCAGAAAUAAGAUUACAAAUGUGAAAUAGAUGCAGCAAUCUGAUGUUUCUGCAGCGUGAGCAGUGUCAGCGUUUGAUGUUCGGGUGUUGAGUCACCGAGGGCUCACCUUUCCCUCCGGAUGACACCGUGACAGCUGCAACCAGCAGGUGCCUGAGAGCUGGCAGUGCUUUGAUUUCAAAAAGAGAGGGUUGCUGGCACGGCAUUUUCACAAGGAGUUCCUUCUCAGCUCUGCAAGUCCUUUCACUUCUUCGCUCAAUGGGACCUUGAUUUGAUAACACUGGGAGCGUAUCACAAACGGCACAUCUGCUCUGCCAGGAUGAGCCGUGGGACUGAGCUGCAGAGCUGCUUCCUGGGGAUCCCACUUGCUUUCAGCUUCAGUUUAUCUGUGAGCUUACCCUACUAAAUUAUCAUUAGAAAUUCCACCUCUUGUGAGGCACACGGCCUUUUGAGCACACCUAACAAAACAGAAGAUGUUCCCCUCUGCUGUGCUUCGCUGGGUGUGGGGCACUGAAAGGCUGAGCAAACCACAGACCUCAGGGUGACCUUAUCACUCUCCACAGCUCCCUGAAAGGUGGCUGUGCUCAGGUGGGGUUGGGCUCUUUCUCCAGCCAGCAGUGACAGAACCAGAGGACAAAGUCUCAAGCUGCACAAAGGGACAUAUAGGUUGGAUAUUAGGAAAAAGUUUUUUACAGAAAGAGUGAUAAAGUUCUUUAUCUUUAUCUCCCUGGGCUGACCCAGGGAGGUGGUGGAGUCACCAUCCCUGGAUGUGUUUAAAAACAGACUGGAUGUGGUGCCAGGGUUUAGUUGAGGUGUUGGGGCUGGGUUGAACACCUCAGCUUGAUGCUCUUGAAAGUCUCUUCCAACCUGGUUAUUCUGUGAAUUCUGUGGUUGUUUCUGACUAAGCAAAAGCAAGCACACAGAUUUCUCUACACCAGUUCAGCCACACUCGGUUUUUCCUGUGACCUGAGUCACAGUCAAGCAUUUAUUAUGUGACAUUCACAGCGAGAGUGGCAGAAUAAAAACAGGCUAAGAAACCUAAUCCUCAGAGGAGAGCAGUAUGUUCCCACUUGGGGUUUAGUCUCGCAGUGAAGAGGCUGUUAAGGGGUUUGUGAUCCUGGAGAUUGAUGCUGGGGGGAGCCUGGGUAGAGCACAGAGCCACUGGCAGUCGUCAGCUAAAGCUGCCUGAUGAUGGCAGCUGGAGUGGCCAGAGGAAUCCUCUCCUCCAAGGAACCCAGAAGAGUUUAAGUGCUUCCAGAAAUGAAUCCAUUAGAUGCUGAUGGUGAUGGUGAUUAGCAAAAGGUACCGUGAUGACUUAAAGUAUUUCAAGUGUCAUUCAGACUGAAACCUCUUUCAGGUGAAAAGUGUUGGACACAUCAGGACUGAGCUGCAGAGACCGAUUUGGCAGAUGUGGCAGCAAAUCUGGGCAUGGAUCUCACCACUAUGUGUGAGCAAAUGCUACUGAGAGAAUUCUCCCAUUUCCUUCUCAUUUAAAAAGUCUUGACUACUUUCUGUUGUAGUGAAGGUUUUCUAAUUAUUUGAAUCUUAUGUUUCAAAUUUAAUCCAAAAGUUAGGUCAUGGCAUAAGCUAUGGCAAAAUCUGUGUGGUAAAGGGGUUAAUUUGACACUACAGGGAUUUGAGCUUACAGCUUGAGUGAUUUAAAACACUGGAGCAACCUGGUCUAGUGGAAGGUGUCCCUGCCAUGGGAGGGGUUGGAACUGGAUAAUCUUUAAGGUCUCUUCCAACACAAACCAUCUGUGAUUCUGUGACACUGUUGUCCUCUGUAUUCUUUGAGACUCUCUGUACAUCAUCCAGCCACCAAAGUGAGAAUUUCUUCACAUGUGGUUAAAUCCACUUAUUUCUAGACAACCCUGACUUUCUUCAGUAAUUUAUUCUUCUUGGUAAAUAAUGCCUGCAAUCCUUGCAUAUUGGUCAAGCAUUUUUGGUCAAAGAGGUUGAAUAAACAGCCACGAAUCCUGCUGGGCAGCUGAACCAUCCCAGCACUGGCCCUUGAGGAAAUGAUGUUUGAGCAAAUGAUGUUUGUCAGGCAAAGUGAUUAAAGUCAGAUUUUAGAAAUUCUGGUCGUAUCACUCCAGUCCAUCUGCGUCUACCCUAAUGCACUGCAAGGGUGUGCCUGAAAUUAAAUUAAGGACGUGUACUCAGUCUUUCCCAAACUAUUUGUGGAACAGCAAUCUGCUGCUGGAGCCAGGUCCAGGACAGAAGUGCCUGUUAACCCUAAGCUGUAAGAUGAUGGUAACAACAUUAUGACUAGAAAAAUGCAGAGGAAAAUAAUGCUUAGUAUCAGAUGAGCUCACAGAUGUUGCAGACAGUAAACAAAAGGGGAAAUUAUAACCCAGUCAUUACAUUUUCACAAUGAUAUUUUCACCAUAUGUAAACAAGGCCAUUUUCACAUAUAGAAACAAAGUGCCUGUGAUUGUGAAG